AGCCCCGGCCUUUGGGUUUUGAAAGGGGAACCCCCCCCCCAAAUGGGACCGGCCACUGCUGGUCAGGAAGGGUGGGUCUGGCUGAGCAGGGAGAGGGGGGUCCAAAAGACCUAGGGGUGUGUGUGUGUGUGUGUGUGCGUGCAGGUGUUGCCAAGACACUGGUGCCACUGGGCAGCUGCUACAGAGGGGGCCAUAGAAGGAAGUCCUGCUAGAUCGUUGCCUGGGUUAAGAACAAACCAUGUUGGCUUCCUACAGCUGCUGAGCCAGCCGAAUUAGAUUAAAAAAGGCCACCUAAUGCAGCGCUUUCCAAACUUGGGACACGUUUCCCACAAAUUGGGUGGAGUCGCAUGCGCAAACUCAUCACCCAUGACGACAGGAGCCUUUAAACUGAUGUACAGAUGUGCCACGUGUGCUAAAAUGUAUUCGCGAAUCUCCCCGAGAAUUCCUGUUUAGAGGAAAACCAAUAAAGGUUGCCAAUGGGAAUUGGCUAAAAGGGCAGAUCGUCUGGUGCCACUGCAUGGCCCCACAGGAAACCCACCAGCCCCCAAACCCCAUGGACCUGGGCAUGAGGGUUGACCCCGAGACACCCCCAGGGCAAACGCAGGAGGGCAUCCAAAAGGCAAAUCCCCCCAGACUGGAGUCAGGGGGGAGCAGGCUUUAAGACUUGUGGACUUCAACUCCC